UGAAGGCUAAAAUAAUUCUAAGUGUAAACACUUAAGUUGAAAUUUCUAAGUCUGGGGCCUCUCUUUAUGCUCUAAAGGAUUGAGUUAAGCUUAGGAUUUUGCAGGGUCUUACAAUAUCUAUCCCUUGGGAAUAUUCAUCCUUGAAUGAGACUGUCUAAGCUGAGGAUACUGAUAGACUAUGUUUACAUACUGUACAUGCACAACUGAAGCAUGAAUUCAUGACUGAAACUAUUGAUAU
rnacentral:lncRNA from 1 species